AUAAAAAACUCGCCGGGAUAGCUCAGU
rnacentral:tRNA from 1 species